UAUCACAUACCUGUAAUGCCAUCAAAAAUUAAAUUGUGUACCGUCAGUUAACUAAGUUAAAAUAUAUUUGUUUUAUUACUUUAAUCGUUUCUAGGAUUUAUAUGAAAUGUGGCUUUUUUCUCUGACAUUUUUCAUGACAUUUUUUCCGGACACCGAUAUGGAAUAGAGGUACAAGAAUAAUAUUCAGACUUUGAUUUUUUUUUUUUUUUUUGUAAUAGUUCUCAGUUACCUGAAUACUCAGAAUGUAGAUGCGGAUGCCGGAAUAAUAAUGAAUAAUUGCUCGAAGUUACGGAGAUCAGACUCAAUACCGUAUUUAUGCAAUGGUGUCAUUAAGCCCAGAGUGUUGACGCAAGCGUUUGAGUGGUAUAUGUAUCUUUAAAUCAGACAAGAUUAUAUUUGAUAAAGCUGGCCCACGCUUUAAUAGAGGGUUAUGGAGAAUUGGCUUCAACGACAAGAUAGAAUACGUAGAAACAAUCUGAAUACGAUUAAAGCAAACAACGUAACAAGAAAAUAAUGUUGUCCAACCGUCAGACAGUGAAUGUCUAAAGGCACAAGGCCCGAAAUUUGCGGGGGAGUGGGGCAGUCGAUUAUAUCGACCCCAGUACGCAACUGGUACUUAAUCUAUCGAUCCCGAAAGGAUGAAAGGCAAAGUCGACCUCGGCGGAAUUUGAACUCAGAACAUAAAGACAAGAAAUACCGCAAAGCAUUUUGCCCGGCGUGCUAAAGUUUCUUAUUUCCUUAUUGCCCACAAUGGGCUAAACAUAGAGGAGACAAACAAGGACAGACAAAGGGAUUAAGUCGAUUACAUCGACCCCAGUGCGUAACUGGUACUUAAUUUAUCGACCGAAAGGAUGAAAGGCAAAGUCGACC